rnacentral:rRNA from 1 species
UCCUACGGGAGGCAGCAGUGGGGAAUAUUGCACAAUGGAGGAAACUCUGAUGCAGCGACGCCGCGUGAAGGAUGAAGGUUUUCGGAUCGUAAACUUCUAUCAGCAGGGAAGAUAGUGACUGUACCUGACUAAGAAGCCCCGGCUAACUACGUGCCAGCAGCCGCGGUAAUACGUAGGGGGCAAGCGUUAUCCGGAAUUACUGGGUGUAAAGGGUGCGUAGGCGGUUUAAUAAGUCAGAUGUGAAAGCCCGGGGCUCAACCCCGGGACUGCAUUUGAAACUGUUUAACUAGAAUACAGGAGAGGUAAGUGGAAUUCCUAGUGUAGCGGUGAAAUGCGUAGAUAUUAGGAGGAACACCAGUGGCGAAGGCGACUUACUGGACUGUUAUUGACGCUGAGGCACGAAAGCGUGGGGAGCAAACAGGAUUAGAUACCCUGGUAGUCCACGCCAUARACGAUGAAUACUAGGUGUCGGGAGUCGAAUCUCGGUGCCGCAGCUAACGCA